rnacentral:rRNA from 1 species
GACGAACGCUGGCGGCGUGCUUAACACAUGCAAGUCGAACGGAAAGGCCCUGCUUUUGUGGGGUGCCCGAGUGACGAACGGGUGAGUAACACGUGAGUAACCUGCCCUUGACUUUGGGAUAACUUCAGGAAACUGGGGCUAAUACCGGAAAGGAGCUCCUGCUGCAUGGUGGGGGUUGGAAAGUUUCGGCGGUUGGUGAUGGACUCGCGGCUUAUCAGCUUGUUGGUGGGGUAGUGGCUUACCAAGGCUUUGACGGGUAGCCGGCCUGAGAGGGUGACCGGCCACAUUGGGACUGAGAUACGGCCCAGACUCCUACGGGAGGCAGCAGUGGGGAAUAUUGCACAAUGGGCGGAAGCCUGAUGCAGCAACGCCGCGUGCGGGAUGACGGCCUUCGGGUUGUAAACCGCUUUCGCCUGUGACGAAGCGUGAGUGACGGUAAUGGGUAAAGAAGCACCGGCUAACUACGUG